rnacentral:rRNA from 1 species
UUUACCUACGGGACGCAGCAGUGGGGGAUAUUGCACAAUGGGCGAAAGCCUGAUGCAGCGACGCCGCGUGAGGGAAGACGGUCUUCGGAUUGUAAACCUCUGUCUUUGGGGAAGAAAUCAGACGGUACCCAAAGAGGAAGCUCCGGCUAACUACGUGCCAGCAGCCGCGGUAAUACGUAGGGAGCGAGCGUUGUCCGGAAUUACUGGGCGUAAAGGGAGCGUAGGCGGGCUUGUAAGUUGAAUGUCUAAUCCACCGGCUCAACCGGAGAUCGCGUUCAAAACUGCAGGGCUUGAGUGGAGAAGAG